rnacentral:lncRNA from 1 species
AGGAACCCCCUAGAGAGGAGAGGAUCCUCCAGAGAGAGGAAGAUGCCUUGGCCUUCCUCUCCUGCUCAGCUUAUCUGGAAUUGCCUCCUGUCUCCCUGGGCCGAGCCAGGGAGGGGUGGGGAGAGCUCCCUGACAAGCUGAUCCUUGCAGCAUUCUAGAAUGUUCCCUCAGACAGGUUUAUGAACACAGAAAGGGCUUAGUGUCCCUCAAGGCCUGGGGUGGGGGGAAGGCUGGGAGGAGACACCUAUAGGUGGUGGCCCUUUGGUUUUGCUUUCUCCACUCUGAACAAACCUGUUGGAAUCUCUUUACUUUGAGGAAACUGAGGCAAGAGGAAGUUAAGUAAAUUACCAGAAGAGACCAGGUGAGGGCUUCACACCUGUUGUGUGGUCCAGAGCCUGGGCUUCUGCCUCUUCUUGUUCUGGGCUGAAGGUCUACCCAGGGGAGGACUCAGGAUGUUAGUUGAGAGAACAUGAGUCUUUCCUCAGAAGAGGUGGUGGUGAUGCAUGUGACCACCACCAUGGUCUGCCAAGACAGCUCUAGAGCCUCCUUGCAAAGCUCCCACAGGGAGCCCUCCCUCUAGAGCCCAGCAGGCAGAUCCUUCAAUGCUUACUAUGGAGCAGAGAAGAGACACAGCAGAGCACAGGUUCCACCCUUUGGGAGUCUCCCUGUCCAAGCACCACCAUACUAGGAGCCACGUCUCUGACACUCGCACCCUAAGGAAACGCAUUCAAAGCACAGCAUGCCAAUGCUUCAAGAUCCAUCCUAGUCCCCGAGGCCUGGUGUCUAUCUGUGUACUUUGAUACCAUCCGAGUAGAUCUUUGGGGCCAUGGCCUGGCCAGAGCAGCCAAAGAGUUGUAGCUCUUCAAGGGGAGGACAGGAACCUACUUGUGAGUAGAUUUAAAUGUCUAUUGUUCUCAAUUAUGAGGAUUGUUGGGGUUUCUUAAUCUGCUC